rnacentral:rRNA from 1 species
GCCGCAGUACCCUGACUGUGCAAAGGUAGCAUAAUCAUUUGGNUUAUAAUUGAAGUCUGGAAUGAAAGAAAGGACGGGNNGUUGCUGUCUCUUAGAAGCUAUUAGAAGUUAUUUAGUAAGUGCAAAUACUUACCAUUAAAUAAUAGACGAGAAGACCCUAGAAAUUUUUUAAACAGUUAGUUGAACUGAUUAAUAUUUUGUUGGGGCGACAGGAUAGCAAUUAACCUAUCUUUACAAUAUGAACUCUAUAAAUAGAAAAACUAAAUUACUCUAGGGAUAACAGCAUAAUUUAUAUUAGUUUGUGACCUCGAUGUUGGACUAGGGAUCUUAACAUUUANAAGACGUUAAGGAAAGCUCUGU